UGUCACCCAGCCGGAGGCCAACAUCAACUCCCCAGGAACUGGUAACUCAAAGAAAAGGGUGAAAGUCAGGAGAUGGAGAGACAGCAGAGAAGCUGAAAGUCUACAAGCGUUAAACUAGAAGUGUGCUGUGGAUUGUGGAGGAGACUGGAAGAUGACGAAGAACUGGAAACUGGAACGAGAAGAAGAUCAAGGCGGUCAAUACACUUCAGG